UACGAAGGGGGCUAGCGUUGCUCGGAAUCACUGGGCGUAAAGCGCACGUAGGCGGUCUGUUAAGUCAGGGGUGAAAUCCUGGAGCUCAACUCCAGAACUGCCUUUGAUACUGGCGAUCUUGAGUCCGGGAGAGGUGAGUGGAACUGCGAGUGUAGAGGUGAAAUUCGUAGAUAUUCGCAAGAACACCAGUGGCGAAGGCGGCUCACUGGCCCGGUACUGACGCUGAGGUGCGAAAGCGUGGGGAGCAAACAGG
rnacentral:rRNA from 1 species